ensembl:rRNA 5S_rRNA 5S ribosomal RNA
GCCUAUGGCCAUACCACUCUGAAUACACCUGAUCUCAUCAGGUCUCAGAAGCUAAGCAGGGUCAGGUCUGGAUGGUACUUGGAUGGGAGACAAAGAAUAAGCAUCUGGACAGAAAAUGAAAGUUAUAAGCA